UACGUAGGGUGCAAGCGUUGUCCGGAAUUAUUGGGCGUAAAGAGCUCGUAGGCGGUCAGUCGCGUCUGCUGUGAAAACUCGGGGCUUAACUCGGGCCUGCAGUGGGUACGGGCUGACUAGAGUGCGGUAGGGGAGACUGGAAUUCCUGGUGUAGCGGUGAAAUGCGCAGAAUAUCAGGAGGAACACCAAUGGCGAAGGCAGCACUCUGGGACGUGACUGACGCUGAGAGCGAAAGCGUGGGGAGCAAACAGG
rnacentral:rRNA from 1 species